rnacentral:rRNA from 1 species
AUUGAACGCUGGCGGCAUGCUUUACACAUGCAAGUCGAACGGUAACAGGUUAAGCUGACGAGUGGCGAACGGGUGAGUAAUGCAUCGGAACGUGCCCAGUCGUGGGGGAUAACGCAGCGAAAGCUGUGCUAAUACCGCAUACGAUCUAUGGAUGAAAGCGGGGGACCGUAAGGCCUCGCGCGAUUGGAGCGGCCGAUGUCAGAUUAGCUAGUUGUGGGGUAAAGGCCCACCAAGGCGACGAUCAGUAGCUGGUCUGAGAGGACGACCAGCCACACUGGGACUGAGACACGGCCCAGGACUCCUACGGGAGGCAGCAGUGGGGAAUAUUGGGCAAUGGGGGGAACCCUGACCCAGCGACGCCGCGUGGGUGAAGGAAAUCCUU